GAUGAACGCUAGAUGCAGGCUUAACACAUGCAAGUCGCGGGACCGGCGCACGGGUGAGUAACGCGUAUCCAACCUGCCCUUCCCCACGGGAUAACCCGGCGAAAGUCGGACUAAUACCGUAUGGUGAAGGAUGGGGAUGCGUCCGAUUCGCUUGACGGCGGGGUAACGGCCCACCGUGGCUACGAUCGGUAGGGGGUCUGAGAGGAAGGUCCCCCACACUGGAACUGAGACACGGUCCAGACUCCUACGGGAGGCAGCAGUGAGGAAUAUUGGUCAAUGGGCGUAAGUCUGAACCAGCCAAGUAGCGUGCAGGACGACGGCCUAUGGGUUGUAAACUGCUUUUAUGCGGGGAUAGGUACCGCAUGAAUAAGGACCGGCUAAUUCCGUGCCAGCAGCCGCGGUAAUUC
rnacentral:rRNA from 1 species